CACUAGAAAGCUAAUUAUGGACAAAAGCGUUGGCCCUUUAACCUAAAGGUUGGUGGCUACCGACCACCUCUAGUGA
rnacentral:tRNA from 1 species